UACGUAGGGGGCAAGCGUUGUCCGGAAUCAUUGGGCGUAAAGCGCGUGUAGGCGGCUCGAUAAGUCUGCUGUGAAAGUCCAGGGCUCAACCCUGGAAUGCCGGUGGAAACUGUCGAGCUAGAGUCCGGAAGAGGCGAGUGGAAUUCCUGGUGUAGCGGUGAAAUGCGCAGAUAUCAGGAGGAACACCGGUGGCGAAGGCGGCCUGCUGGGACAAUGCUGACGCUGAGGCGCGACAGCGUGGGGAGCAAACAGG
rnacentral:rRNA from 1 species